GUGUUGAGGGGGAACGUCUUGUGUGUUAAUGUAUGGCCACUGCUCAUCAUCCUGACACUGGGCACCACUGGGAAGAGUCUGGCACCAUCCUCUUAGCACCCACCUUUGCCAUACUUACUGCAUUAAUGUGAUCCCCUGACAGUGUUCUCUAGAAUAAGCAGGCCCAGCUUCCAGUCUCCCCUCAUAAAAGAGAAGCUCCAGGCCCCAAAUGAUCUUUGUGGGCCCCCACUGGACCCUCUCUUAUAGCUCCUUGUCUUUCUUGUACUGAGGACCCCAGAAUCACAAGUGUGCCUCCUCACUUAAAAGCAGAUAUGCUGGAUAAAUGCCUUACUCCUUUGUAGCAGAUUUUCUUCCAAUGCAGAAAUAAGUUUUUUCAAUUGUAUCUUCCAAUUUAGAGACUUGUCUUUUAUGUUUUUUAAUCCAAAAUUAUUUUUUAAUGUUUUCUGCUAAACACCAAAUAAAUAACUAAAUUAAUUAAUUAAUAGAAAUACAAUAGCUUUCCUGACCACCAAACAGAGAUUGGUUUAUGUUUCUGAGCUUCUGAAUAUUUGUGAUUGUUCACUGCUAGGCUGUAUCAGAACUGCAGUGUUUGAGGAAGGGAAGGCAGUUUUGCAGAACAUGCUGAAAAGUUACAUAAGACACAAUCGUGAUUACACUGUUUUAAUUCUGUUGUGUACAAAACGUAUUUACACUGACUUCCAGAAAGGUUAACUUCCAUAACAAUUCUCUAUAUGUGCCACAUGAAAAACAAAGGACUUAGUGCCCCGUUUGUGCAUUCUGGGUCAGGAAAUGCUGGAAGUGUCUAUUUCUAGAAAAUGGUAGCUGGCUGUACCUGAGCCCAAUGUUUUCCAUUGCUGCACAUCAUGAGACUCUUGGUGAACAAUUCCCUGGACAUGGGAGGUUCAAAUUUCUGAAAGGCUUAGCCAGGUCUUUUAGCAUGCUGUUUAAGAAGAAAAGAGAGAGAAGUCAGUAUGUACUGCAUCGGUACAGGACAACACAUAAAUGUCUCAAGGGCACAACUUUUCUCCUUCAGGAUGAACUGUUAGAGCAAAGGACAGCCUUCCAGGUAAGUUGGCAAAGGAGUGGCAAUUAAAUGCAGAAGGCAAAACUACUCUUGGGUACACAAGACAUUAUUAGAGCAAGGGAGCAGCCCUGAACACACUACAACACCCAAUAGGAGCCAAGCAAACGUGUGGUGGGAGUAUUUCUGCUGCGAGAUGCCAACACCGCUUGAGUGAGAGCAGCUGUGUCCUGACAAUUUCCUAUGUUCACCCUCAUAAUAUACAGACUGAUUACAAGGUGCAGGCUGACUGGCCUCAACAGAGUUGAAAUUUCUGCCUUCCAGCUUAUAGCUGUGUCUCACAACCAAGACAGUCUGAGGCUGCCAGCAAGGAUUUGGUUCAAUGCCGAAAUCCUUGCAGGUUUGGCAGUCUGAAUAAUGUGCCAAACUGUGCAUGUCUGUGUAGCAGCUGAGGUGCAACACCAGUGGUACCUCAUGGUGGAGUUGGAAGAAUUAAGUAUCAUAGCCCUUGGAUACUUGAAGAUGAUGUUGCCAGGAGAGGUGGAGCUAGUGCCCUAGACAGGGAGAGGAGAGAAUGCUGCAGAUGAGGUGGGAAAAUCAACAGCUAAAAUAUGAAAUGCUGUUGCCAGAGCUAGACAACUAGAAUAAAUUACAAAAGGUGACAAAACCAAAAAAACUUGUGACUGCUUUGGGUUUAUGACCACUUUGCAUUUUACUUGGGCUUUUGAAAUAUGAUGUUUCCAGGUUAUUGUGAUUCCCUGGUUAUUUGAUGAACAGUUAAGUGAGAUCACACAAGAGGACUUGUGUAUCACUGCUUAGUUUUGCUGUCUGUCUGACAGAACAGGCUCUUUGUCUUGACUGCUGACUUCUUGCCCAUUCUCCUGAUUUAUCCUAUUGGCAGGAAUGCAUGGCGCCAGUAGGCUGGCUCAAGACUUUCUAACAAAAAUCUUUGGCUAAAAGGAGAGUCACAUGGUGUCAGCAAUCCAUGUUCCUAUUGUCUGACUUGUGCUGGAACUACUGAUGUCAGGAGUGUCACAGUCCCAGUGGCACCAGUGAUGCCAGUGGUAGGUGAGAGGUGACAUCCUUUGGAGAAAAGUGUUUUAUGGAGUAGCAAGGCAAGCUGGGAGUGGAGGGUGAUAGUAAGGUAUGCAUGACAGUGACUUCCCUAGCAGGUACUACAGCACCCAAACAAAAAUAGCAAAGCAAUUCUGGUGGUGGCUAGAAGUUCAGCCAAGAGUAUAGAUCACCAGUGACCAUCCCAGUGAGCACAGUGACAAGGAGGUCUGAGAUCAAGCCAGAAAAACCAAGCCAGUGAGUCAGGGUCAGAAUCAGGUUCAGUGACAAUAACCAGGACCAACCAGCCACCAGUCUGGUCAUCAUUAGACAAGCCCACAGUGAUGGAAGGAUCCAAAAUCAUCUCAGUUAGGCCGGGAUCUGGAUCAGUGUGUGGGGCCAGGCACAGUCAUACCCAUAACAUAGCUGAGACAAGGAUUAAGGGAGAGCUUCAAUGUAGGCACAGCUCUUGAGCAAAGCAGGUGGGUCUCAAUUCUUACAGCUCUUUUUCAUGCAGCAUUCUAAUCCAAGGUCACUCAGCUGCACCACGGCAGAGCUGCCUUUGAGCACAUGCUGACUAAGGCCCCAAGAAAAGGUCUAAUUAAGAGCUUCACCCCAGCUGAGGGACACACAUAUGUGACUGAAUCUGUUUAUGUGGCUUAGUAUUUGUGUGCCAGAGUUUAUUUUAAAGACAUGUAAACUAUCAUCAUUUAUGACCAUCUGGAGGCAUGGCCAGACAUACUUUCUGUACACCAUUAAACAUUGUAAGAAGUCAGAAUUGAGGGAAUCAUAUGGAUCCUUGAUAUUUUCCUCCUCUUUUGACACAAUGCUCCUGUUAUCUUGGCAUACACAAUUCUUGGGAUUUUCUCUUUCCUUUCUGCUGGUCCUUAAGACAUGACUGUCUUUGAACCUAAAAGAGGAUCCCAAGUUCAUUCAAACCUGGAAAAUGAGCAUUCCCUGAACAAAUAUUGCAAAAUGCUUGUGUUUUUAGUGACCUACCAGGACUGACAAGCCUUCAGAGUGUGUGCCUCCAAGUAGUGCCACAGUCCUCUCUCUGGAACACUUAAUGCUACAAAUGCUGUCAGCACUGACAUGUAGUCACACUGCUGAAAAUAAAUUGCCUAUGAUAACUAAGCCACAGCCCCCUCAAUUCUGGCUACAGUUGCUACAGUGGAAUGCUUGCUUGGGGGCUGACUUGACUCUGCAGACAGAAGAAACUCAUUUAUUUCCUUUGCAUAGCAGCCCUGUAUGUAUGGAAACACAGAGGACAUUUUGAAGGGAGAAGAAAGUAGUCAGGAAAGAAGUUCAAUUAUUUAUGGAGAGCAGAUGGAUUUAGCAAACCUGCCUGCUGAGACAGAGGCAUGACUGUGCAAAUCAGGGCAAGGCUGAUGGAGCAAAAAAGCCAGAGCAGGCCUCUCAUGGAUGAUGCUGUUCAGGACCUCCAUGCUCCUCUGUGGUACCACACCUCUCCAGGACUUUUUGGUCAGCAUUAAGAAAAUCUGCUCAGAGGGUAGUUUUCCUCUCCCUGUAUCACAGAAUUUUUCUAUUUAUAAUUGUACCUAGAAUUAUUAAAAUAUCCUUAAAUCUCUCUAGUCUAUUUAUAUGUUAUAUAAUUAGGGCUGGAGGAAUGAGGCGUACCUUACAGAUCAACAACAUACCAGUAAUGCUGAAUGUACCUUCCCUUCCAUUAUUUUAUUUAAAAGCAUCUAAGACCAGUAGGAUAACAUGCUGAAAAUAUAAAUCAUGUUGCCUUUUGAUGCAAUUGAGAAGCUAGAAAUAAGGAAGAGAAACACAUUUACAUAUUACAGUAUUAUAGACACACGUAGGAUGAAUACUCACUGUAGCUUGUAGUAAAAUUUUUAACACAGGUAGUAAUAGGACAUAAUUGCAAUUGAGGUGUUUAAGGGAGGGUGCUUCUCAUACAAACUAACCACAAGAACAAUUAGAGGUGCAAAAGUCCAUGUUCCUUAUGUGCUCUUAGUCACAGAGUAUAUUCCACUAUGAACAAACCCAGGGGUUGUGAUCUUUAGUUCUGAAAAUCAACUAACCUCAUAAUUACAGGUUUUUAUAUAACUAAAGGAGGCUUCUUUUGAUCUGCAUUUCUUUUAGACCGUUUUGCUUUAUGUCAAAAUAAUCACUGACCUGGGUUGCACAGGGGACAUCUCUGAGCAAUGUAAGUGAGAUUUUCUUGCUAUAAAACUCCCCUCUCCCUGAGGGUUGUGGAUCUUUAAUUUACAGAAGGCAAAACUGCUUGGAAGUCCCUACCAUGAUUGAAGUGGCUUGUAGUUACAAAAACUGUGUAUUCCUCCUGGCAAUAUUAGCCUUUUUUAGCUCAAGCAAGCCCCAUAAAACCUUAGAAUAUCAUUUGUUUUCAGUAGUCACAACGAAUUUCUCACUAAUGGAAAGAGUGCAAUGCAGAACAGAUUGAUUGCCAUAAAGAUGAUUUAUUGUGUUUACUGUUUCAUUAAAACAAGCAAUUAGCCAAAGCUUUAAGUGUGACAGACUUUUUUUUGUGGGGAUUCGUUGAUGAUGAAAGCACAUGUUUCUCCAGGAUGGGAGUUCCUGUUCAUUCACAAAGUCAGCAAGACAACUUACAGCCCAAAUUCAACAAGGAACAUGACAAGGAGCUGUGUCUUUUCUCACCACUCCAAUUCCGUUUCUGGAGAGCAACCUUUGCCUCCUAACCCUUUGUGGGGACACGUGCCCAGGGUUGUCCUAGCUGUGCUGAAAGGCAUGGACCAGGGCAGAACUAGGACUUUGCCACAGCCCCCAGCUCCACUACUCCUUCUGCUCAGUGGCACACAAACAUUACUCCCUGGUGAGGAAGCUCAUUUCCCCCCAUAUGCUCUUAAUUUUGGGCAAUA